rnacentral:lncRNA from 1 species
CAGACUUCAGCCUUAGAUUGACUCAGGUGAAAUGAGGCGCAUGAGCUCAUGGAACCCCUACCUGCAACAUCAGUUACUGCUGAAAAAGAAUAUGCUCUGGUUUUGAUCUUAGUCACGUGACCCAACGGCAGCUUCCUCGUGUAUGCAACCAGAAGAAUAAAUGCUAUGUUAAAAAUGAGAAUGCUUCAGAAAUAAGUGUCAAGUGAGGCCGGGUACUAUCAUUCCAUAAAGACACAAGUUAAACUGCACCCAGCACUUCCAGAUAACUUCAGAAAAGUGUAGUGAAGCCAGGGAAGACGGCCUAUCUUCUUCAUCUUCUGCAAAAUUCUGGUGACUAACCUGCUGCAAAAACAGUGGUUGUUCUUGGGAAUUAAUGAAUGAUAACUACAACAUAAAAUCACAAAGAUGGUAGGUAUUCUAGUCCCUCUGUUUUGCAAAUGAAUAAUUUUCAUAUAUGUUUACUAUCGCACAGUUAUAGGAACUACAUAAGUAGUUCUUGAGUUGCUUAAGAAUUGUUUUUUUACUGAAACCAUAAUGAAAGUAGCGCUACCAGCUGAC